rnacentral:rRNA from 1 species
CAAGUUGCACGAGAAAGUGGAGCAAUCCAUGAGUACAGUGGCGUACGGGUGAGUAACACGUGGAUCAUCUACCUCUUGGUGGGGAAUAACCCUGGGAAACCGGGGCUAAUACCGCAUAAGCCUGCAAAGGGAAAGCAGCAAUGCGCCGAGAGAGGAGUCCGCGGCCGAUUAGCUGGUUGGUAGGGUAACGGCCUACCAAGGCAAUGAUCGGUAGCCGGCCUGAGAGGGCACACGGCCACACUGGCACUGAAACACGGGCCAGACUCCUACGGGAGGCAGCAGUGGGGAAUCUUGCACAAUGGGGGAAACCCUGAUGCAGCGACGCCGCGUGAGCGAUGAAGCCCUUCGGGGUGUAAAGCUCUUUCGGCAGGAACGAUAAUGACGGUACCUGCAGAAGAAGCUGCGGCUAACUACGUGCCAGCAGCCGCGGUAAUACGUAGGCAGCAAGCGUUGUUCGGAAUUACUGGGCGUAAAGAGUGUGUAGGCGGUUCUCUAAGUUCGGUGUGAAAUCUCCCGGCUUAACUGGGAGGGUGCGCCGAAAACUGGAGGGCUGGAGUAUGGGAGAGGAAAGCGGAAUUCCUGGUGUAGCGGUGAAAUGCGUAGAUAUCAGGAGGAACACCUGCGGUGUAGACAGCUUUCUGGACCAUCACUGACGCUGAGACACGAAAGCGUGGGUAGCAAACAGGAUUAGAUACCCUGGUAGUCCACGCCCUAAACGAUGCAUACUUGGUGUGAGCCGUUCAUUUCGGUUCGUGCCGGAGUUAACGCGUUAAGUAUGCCGCCUGGGGAGUACNGUCGCAAGGCUGAAACUCAAAGGAAUUGACGGGGGCCCGCACAAGCGGUGGAACCAUGUGGUUCAAUUCGACGCACCGCGAAGAACCUUACCUGGGCUCGAACGGCUUCGGACAUCCUUGGAAACAGGGAUUUCCGCA